AUGAAGGCUGGAAGUAGUUACUGGAGGAUGCAGCAGUGCAGAGGGCUGGGGCAGGUUACAGAAUCACUGGAGCAUGAGGGUGUUCUGGAACUCGGCAGUUGUUGGCAUGAGCUUCAGCUAUUCUCCAUCCCAGGGUUCCAGAACUACACUCCUACAGAAAUGAUGUCCCUUGAGUGCAAGUCAGCCUCCCCAGAACCCUUGGCAGCUCUGCAGAAGCAUCAGAUCUUGUUACGUUACUUUGGCAGUACAGAGGUCUCAAGCCCUUUCAGAAGGGCAAUGAGGGCCUACUGGAUACUAAAGGUGUCUAUCAUCAGAGGAAAGCAGAAGUGACUUUAUACCUAGAAUGUGCAGAGAUCAAACAAGAUGAGUGUUGCAGUAAAACAAUAAAGGCAUGUGUGUGCUUGUGUGUGAAUUCA
rnacentral:lncRNA from 1 species